GUUCCUGCCCUCCCUCCCGCAGUCCCCGCAUCCCCUUCUCUGCCUCCCAGCUGGGGACUCUGGAGAGCAGCUUCCAACAGACCCGCUACCUGAGCACUGGGCAGGUUCGGAACGUGGCCCUGCUGCUGGGGCUCACAGAGAACCGGGUGAAAAUUUGGUUCCAAAACCGGAGAGCCAGAGAGAGGCGGGACUUCUUGAAACAGCAGCCCAACCACACCACUGG